UGCCAGCCGCCGCGGUAAUACGGAGGGUGCGAGCGUUAAUCGGAAUUACUGGGCGUAAAGCGCGCGUAGGUGGUUAUAUAAGCUAGAUGUGAAAGCCCUGGGCUCAACCUGGGAACUGCAUUUAGAACUGUAUGGCUAGAGUACAGCAGAGGAUAGUGGAAUUUCAGGUGUAGCGGUGAAAUGCGUAGAGAUCUGAAGGAACAUCAGUGGCGAAGGCGACUGUCUGGGCUGAUACUGACACUGAGGUGCGAAAGCGUGGGUAGCAAACAGGAUUAGAUA
rnacentral:rRNA from 1 species